rnacentral:lncRNA from 1 species
UUUUUUAAGUAAAGCCUAUUAAUACACAGUCUUAUCAGAGAGAUUUAUGAUCAGUUGAAGCCAAGUUGAGCUCAAGUUGUUGGGGUGGUGUAGAGUUAGCCUAUGGUGCAUCGGCGGAUCAUCUCAGUGUUUUGUGGAACAGUGAUUUUGAGAGGCGACAGGAUUAAAGAAAAACCUUUGAAGACAUCAAAUAGGAAACAGAUUCUACAGAGUGCUCAGCAACACAGAACUGCACACGUUAUCUGUCGGCCAGCAUGAGAUCGGCACACGUUGUCUGCACCUAACCCCACGGCACAGGCCGAGGCCGGGCUUCCCCA